ACGGGGCCCGCACAAGCAGUGGAGUAUGUGGUUUAAUUCGAUGCAACGCGAAGAACCUUACCUGGUCUUGACAUCCACAGAACUUUCCAGAGAUGGAUUGGUGCCUUCGGGAACUGUGAGACAGGUGCUGCAUGGCUGUCGUCAGCUCGUGUUGUGAAAUGUUGGGUUAAGUCCCGCAACGAGCGCAACCCUUAUCCCUUGUUGCCAGCGGUCCGGCCGGGAACUCAAAGGAGACUGCCAGUGAUAAACUGGAGGAAGGUGGGGAUGACGUCAAGUCAUCAUGGCCCUUACGACCAGGGCUACACACGUGCUACAAUGGCGCAUACAAAGAGAAGCGACCUCGCGAGAGCAAGCGGACCUCAUAAAGUGCGUCGUAGUCCGGAUUGGAGUCUGCAACUCGACUCCAUGAAGUCGGAAUCGCUAGUAAUCGUGGAUCAGAAUGCCACGGUGAAUACGUUCCCGGGCCUU
rnacentral:rRNA from 1 species